rnacentral:rRNA from 1 species
CCUACCGGAGGCAGCAGUGAGGAAUAUUGGUCAAUGGGCGCGAGCCUGAACCAGCCAAGUAGCGUGAAGGAUGACGGCCCUACGGGUUGUAAACUUCUUUUAUAAAGGAAUAAAGUGAGGCACGUGUGCCUUUUUGUAUGUACUUUAUGAAUAAGGAUCGGCUAACUCCGUGCCAGCAGCCGCGGUAAUACGGAGGAUCCGAGCGUUAUCCGGAUUUAUUGGGUUUAAAGGGAGCGUAGAUGGGUUGUUAAGUCAGUGGUGAAAGUUUGCGGCUCAACCGUAAAAUUGCAGUUGAUACUGGCAGUCUUGAGUACAGUUGAGGUAGGCGGAAUUCGUGGUGUAGCGGUGAAAUGCUUAGAUAUCACGAAGAACUCCGAUUGCGAAGGCAGCUUGCUAAGCUACCACUGACGUUGAUGCACGAAAGUGUGGGUAUCAAACAGGAUUAGAUACCCCAGUAGUC